GGUUCCAUAGCUCAACCGGAUAGAGCAUGGGCUUUCUAAACCCAGAGUUAGGGGUUCAAGUCCUCUUGGAAUUA
rnacentral:tRNA from 1 species